rnacentral:lncRNA from 1 species
GAGUUGACAGUGUCAGACUGUAUCUUCCUAGCAACAGCGGAGUGGUUGCAUAACCAACAGAUGAGAGGGUGGUGUUCCCAGUGUUCAUAUCAUUCCCCAGCAGAUUAUUUUUAACAGAUUUGUUAAUCCCCAGCUUGAGGGUGAUUAGCAAGUUCAUAUCCCCAGCAAAGGUCGUUUCCUACGACAUUUCCCCAGGAAGUGUUUUCCCCACAGACUCUCCUCACAGAGCCUCGCC